CGACUAAGAAACACUUGAUGUCAACAAGAUUUUCUGAUUGACAAGAGAAAAGGUCAAACAGGAACUUCAAUUGUGAACAUUGCAGAGAACACACUCAUCAGAAGAUGACCCUCAGAAAUAGGACAAUUAAUGAAUAAAAUGGACAGAGGCAGAACUGAAGGAGAUGCAUGAAAUGAGGAAUAUUUCAAAGAUUGCCUGAGCAUAA